UCUAGGGUAGCCUAGUGGACAUGGCAUCUGCCCGGUAAGCGGAACACUGUGGGUUCGAUUCCCAUCCCUAGAC
rnacentral:tRNA from 1 species